AAGAAAAAUAAGAAGAAGUCAAAGUCAGAUGCUAAAGCAGUGCAAAACAGUUCACGCCAUGAUGGAAAGGAAGUUGAUGAAGGAGCCUGGGAAACUAAAAUUAGUCACAGAGAGAAACGACAACAGCGUAAACGUGAUAAAGUGCUGACUGAUUCUGGUUCAUUGGAUUCAACUAUCCCUGGGAUAGAAAAUACCAUCACAGUUACCACCGAGCAACUUACAACUGCAUCAUUUCCUGUUGGUUCCAAGAAGAAUAAAGGUGAUUCUCAUCUAAAUGUUCAAGUUAGCAACUUUAAGUCUGGAAAAGGAGAUUCUACACUUCAGGUUUCUUCAGGGUUGAAUGAAAAUAUUACUGUCAAUGGAGGAGGCUGGAGUGAAAAGUCUGUAAAACUCUCCUCACAAUUGAGUGCAGGUGAGGAGAAGUGGAACUCUGUCCCACCUGCUUCUGCAGGCAAGAGAAAAACAGAGCAGUCUGCUUGGACUCAAGACCCUGGUGAUACUAAUGCAAAUGGGAAAGACUGGGGAAGGAAUUGGAGUGAUCGCUCAAUAUUUUCUGGCAUUGCUGCUUGGUCUAGUGUGGCUAGGGGAGUGAGUGCCUCUCAACAGAACUCUGCUUCUUUUGCAUCUCUCACACUUAACUCUGCUGUCUCUGGAUCUACUGCUGAGCCAGUUUCUCAGUCUACCACUUCUGAUUAUCAGUGGGAUGGUAGCCGUAAUCAGCCCCAUAUCGAUGAUGAAUGGUCUGGGUUAAAUGGUUUGUCUUCUGCUGAUCCUAGCUCAGACUGGAAUGCACCAGCAGAAGAGUGGGGGAACUGGGUAGAUGAAGAUAGAGCUUCACUUCUGAAGUCCCAGGAGCCGAUUUCUAAUGAUCAAAAGGAUUCAGAUGAUGAUAAGGAAAAAGGAGAAGGAGCUCUUCCAACUGGAAAAUCUAAAAAGAAAAAAAAGAAAAAGAAGAAG
rnacentral:lncRNA from 1 species